rnacentral:rRNA from 1 species
GUGGGGAAUUUUGGACAAUGGGCGCAAGCCUGAUCCAGCAAUGCCGCGUGCAGGAAGAAGGCCUUCGGGUUGUAAACUGCUUUUGUACGGAACGAAACGGUUCUCUCUAAUACAGGGAGCUAAUGACGGUACCGUAAGAAUAAGCACCGGCUAACUACGUGCCAGCAGCCGCGGUAAUACGUAGGGUGCAAGCGUUAAUCGGAAUUACUGGGCGUAAAGCGUGCGCAGGCGGUUUUGUAAGACAGAGGUGAAAUCCCCGGGCUCAACCUGGGAGCUGCCUUUGUGACUGCAAGGCUGGAGUGCGGCAGAGGGGGAUGGAAUUCCGCGUGUAGCAGUGAAAUGCGUAGAUAUGCGGAGGAACACCGAUGGCGAAGGCAAUCCCCUGGGCCUGCACUGACGCUCAUGCACGAAAGCGUGGGGAGCAAACAGGAUUAGAAACCCGAGUAGUCC